AAUGCUUUGAUGGGGGUCAUAGCAGAAGCAUUCAUGUUGUGACCCCUGUCAGGUAAUACCUGAUAAUACCUGUGAAUUCGGCU
ensembl:ribozyme